rnacentral:tRNA from 1 species
CAGAAAAUAGUAUAAAUAAUAUAUAGAUUUUGGGGAUCUAAGUUGAGUAACAUCUUUUCUGA